GAUGAACGCUGGCGGCGUGCCUAAUACAUGCAAGUCGAGCGAACAGACGAGGAGCUUGCUCCUCUGACGUUAGCGGCGGACGGGUGAGUAACACGUGGAUAACCUACCUAUAAGACUGGGAUAACUUCGGGAAACCGGAGCUAAUACCGGAUAAUAUAUUGAACCGCAUGGUUCAAUAGUGAAAGACGGUUUUGCUGUCACUUAUAGAUGGAUCCGCGCCGCACUAGCUAGUUGGUAAGGUAACGGCUUACCAAGGCAACGAUGCGUAGCCGACCUGAGAGGGUGAUCGGCCACACUGGAACUGAGACGCGGUCCAGACUCCUACGGGAGGCAGCAGUAGGGAAUCUUCCGCAAUGGGCGAAAGCCUGACGGAGCAACGCCGCGUGAGUGAUGAAGGUCUUCGGAUCGUAAAACUCUGUUAUUAGGGAAGAACAAAUGUGUAAGUAACUAUGCACGUCUUGACGGUACCUAAUCAGAAAGCCACGGCUAACUACGUG
rnacentral:rRNA from 1 species